AGUGAACGCUGGCGGUAGGCCUAACACAUGCAAGUCGAACGGCAGCACAGUAAGAGCUUGCUCUUACGGGUGGCGAGUGGCGGACGGGUGAGGAAUACAUCGGAAUCUACUUUUUCGUGGGGGAUAACGUAGGGAAACUUACGCUAAUACCGCAUACGACCUACGGGUGAAAGCAGGGGAUCUUCGGACCUUGCGCGAUUGAAUGAGCCGAUGUCGGAUUAGCUAGUUGGCGGGGUAAAGGCCCACCAAGGCGACGAUCCGUAGCUGGUCUGAGAGGAUGAUCAGCCACACUGGAGCUGAGACACGGUCCAGACUCCUACGGGAGGCAGCAGUGGGGAAUAUUGGACAAUGGGCGCAAGCCUGAUCCAGCCAUACCGCGUGUGUGAAGAAGGCCUUCGGGUUGUAAAGCCCUUUUGUUGGGAAAGAAAAGCAGCAGGUUAAUACCCCGCUGUUCUGACGGUACCCAAAGAAUAAGCACCGGCUAACUUCGUG
rnacentral:rRNA from 1 species